AUGGCCUCUGUGUUUUGUGUUAAUAUUCCAGCUGAGUCAACUGGGUGAUUUGCUAGGACCCUCCAGCCAUUCUGGGCAAAGAGGAUUUUCUUUCCCUUCCCAUCAUCUCAAGAGCCACAGAGCACGCGUGGCUCAUGGACGGUAGCAGACACCCCCUCAGUGUUAGCACCUCUCCCCCAGAACACAGCCUGUUGACCAAAGUGGAAAAUUAGGCACAUUGGCGUGCGCACGGAUUUUAGCCUCAGCAGAUAAGCAUACCAAGCGUGUCAUUAAAGCUGUCCAAAGCAAUUGCCGUGGGGAUCCUGUGUUUGCUGUGAGUCACUAAGGGCUAUAAACACUCCAGAGAGGAUGGCAAGCUGUGGUUACAAGGUGUGUGGGUGCAUGUGUGUGAGCCUGUGUACGUAGUUAUUUCUUAAGAAUUGACUCUCCGUAAAUGUGUUUCAUGUUGAGCGCAUCAGAUGAGUGCCUGUCCAGGAGGGAAAAAGUCAGGAUUGCUUCCUAUUCUCAAGCACCAGGCCCUCUGUCCCUCUUGGGACAGCUACCGUGAAGGUGGGGACUUCAGACUUUCUCUUGUCUGCUGUUUGGAUGCCUUCAAGAGAAGCCGGUUAGAAGAUGCUGAUUGUGGCAGUUCCUUGGAGCCCUCACCACCUGGCAUUAGCCCAGCCGGUGCUGCCACAGCCCCAGAUUUAGAAGAAAUUAACAGCCACAAAGGUGUGACAGGUUGUUGAAGAUAUAGUCAUGCCAGAGACCAAGCAGGGUUUCCUGUGAACCAGCCCACGUGUCCCGGGUCUGCUCUUUCUCAGCCCAAGGUAAUUUUUCAAUUAACUUGAUUGGCUGGAAACCGGGGCGCCCUUGGAGUGUGGGAAAGCAUCCCAGGCCGGAAGGGCCCUCCCCUCUGCCCCCCGUUGGCUUGGGGCUUGACUUCCAGCGGGAGGAUCCAAUUUCACAUCAGGACACCAGGACGUGAUCCCAGUGCCCCUCUGAAAAAUCCCAGAUGGCGCCUUCUGGAAGCCCCUGUGGGCUCCACACUGGCGGCCGG
rnacentral:lncRNA from 1 species